GGUUGGUGCAUUUUUGGUGCAUAUUUUGUUGGCAAUAUAGGUCAGGUAAACAAGUAGAAUUUAUUAGAUCAAAUUAUUGGUGCAUAGUUGGUGCAUUCUUGGUGACAAAUAUUUAUACAAGGACUCUGUUUUAGAGAUCAAUGAAUUGAAGGCGAGAAGGAAUAUUAAAUACAAUAUGAAACGUUCGAAAGGAUUAUGUUUGUCUAUGCAGAUUUUGGCAGAUAUUGGGAGGACUAUAGUUGUGCUACAUUAUU
rnacentral:lncRNA from 1 species